CCUCCUCUGUGAUGGAUUUGCUACUUCUAUACGGAUUGUCUGUGACGAUCAAAACUCAAAUCACCAUCUUUCGACUGAGGGCAGG
rnacentral:snoRNA from 1 species